rnacentral:snRNA from 1 species
GGUUGGAAGGCGUGUCACGACUGGCCGCGCGGAGAGAUCGGUUUGGCAAAGGCCGCUGGCGGCUUGGGCAUCACCUCGCCUGUGCGCGUCACAGGGAGCACGCCUUGUGCAAACGGGCCCUCGCUGUGCAGCCGCUGGGUCUACUGUACCUCGCUGAGCCACGGCAACUGAG